rnacentral:rRNA from 1 species
GACGAACGCUGGCGGCGUGCUUAACACAUGCAAGUCGAACGGAAAGGCCCCUUUGGGGGUACUCGAGUGGCGAACGGGUGAGUAACACGUGAGUAACCUGCCCUUGACUUCGGGAUAACUUCAGGAAACUGGGGCUAAUACCGGAUAGGAAUCCUUGCUGCAUGGUUGGGGUUGGAAAGCUUCGGCGGUUUUGGAUGGACUCGCGGCUUAUCAGCUUGUUGGUGGGGUAGUGGCUUACGAAGGCUUUGACGGGUAGCCGGCCUGAGAGGGCGACCGGCCACAUUGGGACUGAGAUACGGCCCAGACUCCUACGGGAGGCAGCAGUGGGGAAUAUUGCACAAUGGGCGGAAGCCUGAUGCAGCAACGCCGCGUGCGGGAUGACGGCCUUCGGGUUGUAAACCGCUUUCAGCAGGGGCGAAGCUUGUGGUGACGGUACCUGCAGAAGAAGCACCGGCUAACUACGUG